AACGAACGCUGGCGGCAGGCCUAACACAUGCAAGUCGAACGCCGUAGCAAUACGGAGUGGCAGACGGGUGAGUAACACGUGGGAACGUACCUUUCGGUUCGGAAUAACUCAGGGAAACUUGAGCUAAUACCGGAUACGUGCGAGAGCAGAAAGAUUUAUCGCCGAAAGAUCGGCCCGCGUCCGAUUAGCUUGUUGGUGAGGUAAUGGCUCACCAAGGCGACGAUCGGUAGCUGGUCUGAGAGGAUGAUCAGCCACACUGGGACUGAGACACGGCCCAGACUCCUACGGGAGGCAGCAGUGGGGAAUAUUGGACAAUGGGCGCAAGCCUGAUCCAGCCAUGCCGCGUGAGUGAUGAAGGCCCUAGGGUUGUAAAGCUCUUUCGCCAGGGACGAUAAUGACGGUACCUAGAUAAGAAGCCCCGGCUAACUUCGUGCCAGCAGCCGCGGUAA
rnacentral:rRNA from 1 species